rnacentral:rRNA from 1 species
CGAAAGCCUGACGGAGCAAUACCGCGUGAGGGAGGAAGGCUCUUGGGUUGUAAACCUCUUUUCUCAGGGAAGAACAAAAUGACGGUACCUGAGGAAUCAGCAUCGGCUAACUCCGUGCCAGCAGCCGCGGUAAUACGGAGGAUGCAAGCGUUAUCCGGAAUGAUUGGGCGUAAAGCGUCCGCAGGUGGCAUUGAAAGUCUGCUGUCAAAGAGUCUGGCUCAACCAGAUAAAGGCAGUGGAAACUACAAAGCUAGAGUACGUUCGGGGCAGAGGGAAUUCCUGGUGUAGCGGUGAAAUGCGUAGAGAUCAGGAAGAACACCGGUGGCGAAAGCGCUCUGCUAGGCCGUAACUGACACUGAGGGACGAAAGCUAGGGGAGCGAAUGGGAUUAGAUACCCCAGUAGUCCUAGCCGUAAACGAUGGAUACUAGGUGUUGCUUGUAUCGACCCGAGCAGUACCGUAGCUAACGCGUUAAGUAUCCCGCCUGGGGAGUACGCAGGCAACUGUGAAACUCAAAGGAAUUGACGGGGGCCCGCACAAGCGGUGGAGUAUGUGGUCUAAUUCGAUGCAACGCGAAGAACCUUACCAGGGCUUGACAUGUCGCGAAUCCUUGUGAAAGCAGGGAGUGCCUUCGGGAGCGCGAACACAGGUGGUGCAUGGCUGUCGUCAGCUCGUGUCGUGAGAUGUUGGGUUAAGUCCCGCAACGAGCGCAACCCUCGUUUUUAGUUGCCAUCAUUAAGUUGGGCACUCUAGAGAGACUGCCGGUGACAAACCGGAGGAAGGUGGGGAUGACGUCAAGUCAGCAUGCCCCUUACGUCCUGGGCUACACACGUACUACAAUGCUACGAACAGAGGGCAGCUAACCAGCGAUGGCAAGCUAAUCCCGGAAAUCGUAGCUCAGUUCAGAUCGCAGGCUGCGACUCGCCUGCGUGAAGUUGGAAUCGCUAGUAAUUGCAGGUCAGCAUACUGCAGUGAAUUCGUUCCCGGGCCUUGUACACACCGCCCGUCACACCAUGGAAGCUGGUAGUGCCCGAAGUCAUUACCCCAACCUUAGGGAGGGGGAUGCCUAAGGCAGGACUGGUGACUGGGGUGAA